rnacentral:rRNA from 1 species
GACGAACGCUGGCGGCGUGCCUAAUACAUGCAAGUAGAACGCUGAAGAGAGGAGCUUGCUCUUCUUGGAUGAGUUGCGAACGGGUGAGUAACGCGUAGGUAACCUGCCUUGUAGCGGGGGAUAACUAUUGGAAACGAUAGCUAAUACCGCAUAACAAUGGAUGACACAUGUCAUUUAUUUGAAAGGGGCAAUUGCUCCACUACAAGAUGGACCUGCGUUGUAUUAGCUAGUAGGUGAGGUAAUGGCUCACCUAGGCGACUAUACAUAGCCGACCUGAGAGGGUGAUCGGCCACACUGGGACUGAGACACGGCCCAGACUCCUACGGGAGGCAGCAGUAGGGAAUCUUCGGCAAUGGGGGCAACCCUGACCGAGCAACGCCGCGUGAGUGAAGAAGGUUUUCGGAUCGUAAAGCUCUGUUGUAAGUCAAGAACGGGUGUGAGAGUGGAAAGUUCACACUGUGACGGUAGCUUACCAGAAAGGGACGGCUAACUACGUG